rnacentral:tRNA from 1 species
CACUAGAUGACUGAAAGAAAGUACUGGUCUCUUAAACCAUAAAAUAGUAGGAUACGUCUACUUCUAGUGA